AUUGAACGCUGGCGGAAUGCUUUACACAUGCAAGUCGAACGGUAGAGGGGGCAACCCCUUGAGAGUGGCGAACGGGUGAGUAAUAUAUCGGAACGUGCCCAGUCGUGGGGGAUAACGUAGCGAAAGUUACGCUAAUACCGCAUACGCCCUGAGGGGGAAAGCUCCGGCGCUUAGAGAUUGGUGUGCGUCCGAUUAGCUAGUUGGUGGGGUAACGGCUCACCAAGGCGACGAUCGGUAGGGGGUGUGAGAGCAUGACCCCCCACACGGGUACUGAGACACGGACCCGACUCCUACGGGAGGCAGCAGUAAGGAAUAUUGGACAAUGGAGGGAACUCUGAUCCAGCCAUGCCGCGUGAAGGAUGAAGGCGCUCAGCGUUGUAAACUUCUUUUGGAUGGGAACAAUAACUUCUACGUGUAGGAGCUUGAGGGUACCAUCAGAAUAAGCACCGGCUAACUCCGUG
rnacentral:rRNA from 1 species